CCUACUAUAGAAAAAGGCGGGGGUCUCGGCGACCGGAGGAGUUAGGAGGUGUGGGUGAAGAUGGCGGCCGCCAAGGUCGCGAACUACAUCAUGGAGGUGUCCUGUGGCCAGGCAGAAAGCAGCGAGAAGCCGGACGUCGAGGGCAUAACGUCCAAAGAUUACUACUUUGACUCCUACGCCCACUUCAGCAACUCCAUGUUUCACAACCAUCACCUCUUCAAGGACAAGGUAGUGCUGGAUGGGGGCACGGACACAAGCAUCCUCUGCAUGUUCGCCGCCAAGGCCGGACCCGCAACGUCAUCGGGAUCGAGUGGUUCCACUAGCUCUGAAUAUGCGGUGAAGAUUGUCAAAGCCAACAAGUUAGACCAUUUGGUGACCAUCAUCAAGGGGAAGGUGGCGGAGGUAGAGCUCCCGGUGGAAAAGGUGGACAUCAUCAUCAGCAAGUGGAUGGGCUAACUGCUUCUUCUAGGAGUCCAUGCUCAACACCGUGCUCCACGCCCCGACAAGUGACUGGCGCCCAGUAAGCCUCAUCUUCCCAGACCAGGCCACACUGUAUGUGACGGUCAUCGAGGACUGGCAGUACAAAGCCUACAAGAUCCACAGGUGGGAGAACGCUUACGGCUUCGAUAUGUCUUGCAUCAAAAAUGUGGCCAUCAAGGAGCCCCUAGUGGACUUGGUGGACCUCAAACAGCUGGUCAACAAUGCCUGCCUCAUAAAGGAGGUAGACAUCCACACCGUCAAGGUGGAAGACCUGACCUUCACCUCCCUGUUCUGCCUGCAAGUGAAACAGAAUGACUACGUGCACGCCCAGGUGGCCUACUUCAACAUCGAGUUUAUGCACUGCCACAAGAGGACCGGCUUUUCCAUCAGCCCCGAGUCCCUGUACAAGCACUGGAAGCAGAUGGUGUUUUACAUGGAGGACUACCUGACCUUGAAGACUGGCGAGGAGAUCUUCGGCACCAUCGGCAUGUGGCCCAACGCCAAGAAUAAUUGGGACCUGGACUUCACCGUCAACCUAAAUUUCAAGGGCCAUCUAUGCGACCUGUCCUGCUCCACAGACUAUAGGAUGCGCUGAGGCCCGACUCUCCUACCCUGCACAGGUCCAGGGGCUGAGCGCUCCUAGACGACUGCGGGGCUCCCCCUUCCUCUCUCUGCCUCCCUCCCGCAGAGGAAGCUUUAGGGGCCUGGGCUGGGGGGAUGGGGAGGGCACAUCAUGGCUGUUUUUCAUGACUUAUGUUUUUAUAUGGUUGCAUUUAUGCCAAUAAAUCUUCAGCUGGGAAAGAACAAAAAAAAA